AGGAUUAACGCUGGCGGCGUGCCUAACACAUGCAAGUCGAACGAGGUAGCAAUACCUAGUGGCAGACGGGUGAGUAACGCGUGGUCAACCUACCGUUGAGUGGGGGAUAACUAGCCGAAAGGUUAGCUAAUACCGCAUACGAGUCUCGGGGGCAUCCCUGGGCCUUAAAAGGAGCAAUCCGCUCGAUGACGGGACCGCGUCCCAUUAGCUAGAUGGUGGGGUAAUGGCCUACCAUGGCUCCGAUGGGUAGCUGGUUUGAGAGAGCGACCAGCCACACUGGGACUGAGAAACGGCCCAGACUCCUACGGGAGGCAGCAGUGAGGAAUUUUCCGCAAUGGGCGAAAGCCUGACGGAGCGACGCCGCGUGUGGGAAGAAGGCCUUCGGGUCGUAAACCACUGUCGAAGGGGACGAUAAUGACGGUACCUUGGAGGAAGCCCGGCUAACUACGUGCCAGCAGCCGC
rnacentral:rRNA from 1 species